rnacentral:lncRNA from 1 species
UCUGCAUUUACAACCGAAACUAAUACUGAUGAAACUACUCGUAUACUAGUUGGGGCAAUAAGAGAGUCUCCUAUAAGAAGAGAGAAGAGCCAAGCAACUACGGUGUUGGUUUAGUGGAAAGAUCACCUGUUUUCAUGGUACUUAAGUUAUUAUGCAAGUGUGAAGUCCAUUCUCCAACUCUCUUCUUUAUAAAUCAACUACUAGCUUGCCCACUUGCCCACCCCUACCCUAGCCUAGACUUUCGCCAACUCCUUGAUACAACACCGAGAUACAACUUCAUCUUGAUACUACAGCUUGAGACUACAGCUUGAUACUCUAGCUUCCUACAGGAACUACCCUGCCCUACCCUAAGUAUUAGAAUGAAUCGUUUCAUCCCUUGCUUCACCCUCUGCCUAUGCAAGUGCUUAGUCUGCCUCUGUAAGGGGCGGGAAGGAAAUCAAGCCUUAAAAGGGCGAGUUGAGGCAAUCAUCUAUUUGCUAUCAAAAAACCCGGAAACGGAGCUCCUGCCGCUAGUGCCACUUAACUAUCUGCGAGUCAAUUGGCUGACUUGGAGUUGAUGAUCUAC